rnacentral:rRNA from 1 species
GCGUGUGUGAAGAAGGCCUGCGGGUUGUAAAGCACUUUCAAUUGGGAAGAAAAGGGGUUGGUUAAUACCCGACUCUCUAGACGUUACCUUUAGAAGAAGCACCGGCUAACUCCGUGCCAGCAGCCGCGGUAAUACGGAGGGUGCAAGCGUUAAUCGGAAUUACUGGGCGUAAAGCGCGCGUAGGCGGUUUGUUAAGUCAGAUGUGAAAUCCCCGGGCUCAACCUGGGAAUUGCAUUUGAUACUGGCAGGCUAGAGUAUGGUAGAGGGAAGUGGAAUUCCGGGUGUAGCGGUGAAAUGCGU